UAAAUAAACAAAGUCAACAAAAUAACUAUGUUGUUCUUAGUUGUCUAUGCAGUAUCUACGUGUAUCAAUGACUUAUCUCUAAUUAUAAUUGAAUUGACGCCUUCAAUUGAGAUCAAAUGAAGUCAAUUUUUUUCUGUCCUCCAAAUGCACAGGAUCACUUGCAUCUUUAGGGACACUUUAAGACUGUCUUCGUUCCUUCACGACCAGGAUUAAGUGACUUGAUAUUUGUGUUAUACAAUCCAUCUCUUCUCUUAUUAUAUUGUUAUUACAUUAGUGUAGAUAACUAAACUGGCACCUACAAGUCAAGGAGUUUAUUAAGACAGCUGCAUUCAUAACCGUGUCCAUUCGUAGCACACUUGACAAGAUUCAAAC